rnacentral:rRNA from 1 species
ACGAACGCUGGCGGCGUGCUUAACACAUGCAAGUCGAACGGAAAGGCCCUGCUUUUGUGGGGUGCUCGAGUGGCGAACGGGUGAGUAACACGUGAGUAACCUGCCCUUGACUUUGGGAUAACUUCAGGAAACUGGGGCUAAUACCGGAUAGGAGCUCCUGCUGCAUGGUGGGGGUUGGAAUGUUUCGGCGGUGGGGGAUGGACUCGCGGCUUAUGCGCUUGUUGGUGGGGUAGUGGCUUACCAAGGCUUUGACGGGUAGCCGGCCUGAGAGGGUGACCGGCCACAUUGGGACUGAGAUACGGCCCAGACUCCUACGGGAGGCAGCAGUGGGGAAUAUUGCACAAUGGGCGGAAGCCUGAUGCAGCAACGCCGCGUGCGGGAUGACGGCCUUCGGGUUAUAAACCGCUUUCGCCUGUGACGAAGCGUGAGUGACGGUAAUGAGUAAAGAAGCACCGGCUAACUACGUG